AAAAUUCGAAUCCUAAAAAGACACUGAAAACAUAACAAACACAGAUCUCAGAUUGUCCGAUUCGGAUACAAUUCUGAUUCUGUUUUGAGCAGAAACUUUCAUGGGAAGAGAGGAAAAUCACUUUUCAUUUUAACUGACAUUGAAUAAAUUUAAUUAAAAGUACAUUUAAAAAUGGAGAAGUGCAAUGAUAGAAUGCUAACAAGUGUGGCCAAGUACCUAUGUAUGUGCUGUUCAUGUAGAGUGUGUAGAACCAGUGACGGAAAGCUACGGUUGGCAAUAUAAAGUUUAAAUUAAAUUGGUUGGCGGUUGGCGCAUGGGCACCGCGAUUGCAUACAGAUACAUGUAUCUCUGCAGCUAUGCCGUGAUUGAACACUUUAAAUUUAACGAAAUAUUAGCUUGAAGGAGGCAUAGAAGAUAAUUUGGAUGGAAGUGGACACUAUCAAUCACGUAGUUGAUAACAAGGAUUUUCAACAGCAUUCUGAAGCCUAAUCUGAACCGAAUGUCGAUAUUGAAGGCAUUAAAGUAUUUAAAUUUGCUUCAAAGGAGUAAACACAUUCCGUUCAUUCCAUUGCCAUUUUCGAGUUGUAUGUUUUCCAGGAGCGAGCUCCAGCAAUAUGUCGGUCAGAGGAGAAAUGCAUGCUUAUAUUUGAUAGCAAAUUAAUCCGAAGCACCGCUCACGGGAUCACACCUAUGAGGCUGUUCUACACAAUUAAUUUAUUGCUAAUUUUCAUUCAUGGGACAUUUCGCAACACUGAGUUAAACGCUUUGCAGACAGUGGAAGUUCUCAUGUGACAAAUGUGAGCGAACAUCUAAUUAAUUGAUUCGCCUAUUCCAACCGGUCGUGAUAGACACGAUGGAAGCAAAAAUUCGUUUCGAGCAAAUAUAGAAGACAUAUAUUAGCCUGAUGAAGAAAAGCUCAUUAUGUUUAGUAUAUUUAUAAAUUUUUCUGACAAUAAAAAUGUAUCAUUGACGACAAUGGCUGCCACGGACUCCCCGAAAGAUAGCUUUGUUCUUACAGUGAGAAAGUCUUGUGGGGAAGUCGUUGACACCAGACACUUCGUUUUUUUUGCCGAAAUAAUGAUAACAAUCAAAAUCACUCAUGUCUAUGUAUACUUACUGUUUUAUUUUUAGUUACAUAAGGAAAAAGAAAAAAGUGAUUUCAAACGGACACUGAAUAUUGUAAUCCUUGAAAUAUGGGUCACGAGAUGAAAAUGAUUUCUUUCGCCAGCAUGCUACCAAAACACGUAUUCAUGUAUUUUGGGUACGAAUUGAUAUGAUAGAGUUGAAGACCAAUUGAGCGCAACGAUCUAGGACAUUAAAUAAAUUACCCUGGUGGAUAUACAUAGCCAAAAACCUACCCCAUAAGUGUUUUCGCAGGAAUUGGGGAACUGCAGUUUUACACUCUCGCGUGGGGAUCAAUCGCACUAACCGUGUAAUGUGGAGAGUGUUGGAGGAUAGCACUAACGUUGCAUUUUAAUCGAGUGGAGUGGAAAGCCAAUGGAGAAGUUAUGCCAAAGUAGAAAAUUGAAUAGGCUGGCGGUGCAACUCUUGAAUAGUUCUAUGCACCUAUGAGAAUGCAAAUCAAAUUGAC
rnacentral:lncRNA from 1 species